CGAACGGGUGAGUAAUGCUGACCAACCUGCCCCAUGCUCCAGAAUAGCUCUUGGAAACGGGUGGUAAUGCUGGAUGCUCCAACUUGACGCAUGUCUUGUUGGGAAAGUGUUUAGUGGCAUGGGAUGGGGUCGCGUCCUAUCAGCUUGUAGGCGGGGUAAUGGCCCACCUAGGCUUCGACGGGUAGCCGGCCUGAGAGGGCGGACGGCCACAUUGGGACUGAGAUACGGCCCAGACUCCUACGGGAGGCAGCAGGG
rnacentral:rRNA from 1 species